rnacentral:lncRNA from 10 species
UCCUUCUUCUCCCUCUGCUGGAAUAAUGACUUUGGACUGAAUUCUCACAGGAAGUCUCAGACGAAGACACUGCUAACUCCACUUUCAGAGAGAAACACUGAGGCUCAGAGCUAAACUAACUCGCCUCAGAGCCCACAUCCUGGACUUGAGCCUCAGGGUGUUGCAUGCCAAAGCCUGUCCUCUUCACCCCAGCUUCCUGGGCAUUGGAGCGGAUCCAUAGUGUUAGAUAUGCAGUGGGAAUGGCCCCCAUUCCAAGCCACUUCCUGACCUGAUGGCAGCACCCUGCUAGUCCUCACAUGGAGCCCUGGAGAAGCCGGGUUCCUUAACCCAGAUUUGAAUCAAUAGCCUCACACCUGGUAUGCACAUCCAGGCCAAGUGUGGCUGAAUGGGGAGCAUCUGUUCUGGAGACGGCCACCCUCAUGGGCUCCUCUGCUUCCUGUCCCUUCGGGCACUGAUUUAUGGCACACAGCAGGGAAGGGCCUGAGCUUGAGCCCUGACCAUCGUUAUCAUCAC